GUCUCUGCUUGUCUUCCUAAAGAGAAAAUGCCAAGGCCAUGUGAUGGAAAGAAAGCUUCCGGUAGCUACCGGUUCACAAACUCCAGCUACACACACAGAGGACUUGAACUCUCACUGAGUUCCCCACAUGACUGGAACGACUCCUGAGUCACAGUGCUUCAUGGGACCAGCUGUUCCAGGGACUUGGUGUCAGGGAUUCACAGGGAGAAACACAGCCGUCACACUACACGUCCGUACAAGCAAUACCUACUAGAGAAAGCACAGUGCUGAGACCUGGUGACAUAGAGGGAAGAAAGAAGUUGCAAACCACACAGGAAUAUGCACACCCUACCCUGAGAGGCCAGCAACAUAGCAAAGAAUGAAGGCCCACUCAGUCUUCCCAGUGGGCAUCAGGCAAACCAGCUACAAACAAAAUCCAUCUGUUCCCCAGGACCUCAGUACUCGAAAGCCAUUGGUUCUUUGGUAGAAAAGAAGACAGGUGAGAACCAGAAAUAAGAGGCAACAACACAGCAAAGAAGGGAAGUCAAUGCCCCAAGAGGAGCUGCCUAACUCCUUGGAGCUUGUGGGGAGCCCUGCCAUACAAGGACUUCCCGCUCCUUGCUUUGUGGCCCUGUGAGAGGUGGCUGCGGCUGCCCCACACUGACU
rnacentral:lncRNA from 1 species